CACACCGCACCCCACCAGCGCUCCCCAAGGACGCAUCUCUCCUCCAUCCCCUUUCUUUCUCUCUCCCGACACAUCUCGCCACAGCUCCGGUGCCUCCGCCUCAAGGAGAACUACAUCGCCCCCACGAACCACGGACCCAAGCCGGCGCAUGCGUGCAUCGAUUGUACGAUGUGCGGCGCUCCGUCGAGCUCGCCUGCCCGCGUGUUGGCCGACGGAGGGGAGAGCCGACCAGAGUCCUCCGCCACUGUCCGCGCCAGUUUUCUUCCCCGAUCCAGAUCCCAGCUCCCCGCGCGCGUGACCGCCACCACGAGGAGGCCGAGGCCGACAAGGCAGGGUCUCGCCCAGCGUGGUGACCUUCACAUCCAAAGUGUUCCCUUGCGGAGGAGCAGGGGUCGUGCUGGGAUGGAUAGCACCGGGGAGAAGCCCCUCCAGUGAUUUCAUGGGUUGCGGUUCGGCCGACGAGCUGGCCGACCAGGAGCAGGGGUUCGGGGACGCCCUCCGCACCGACAUGGCAGCAAGAUGUUCGUGCAACUGAGAUUGCAAACCUAAAACAGUAUAAAGCUCUCUCUUGGUGAUGCAAGGGCACACUACCUUUCAAAUGCCAAGAAUGAACUUGGAGUUGUUUUUUCCCAAAGUAUAGCUGGAGUACCUACUGCUGAUCCGGAGGCUGAGGAGGAAGAUGGAGCUGCACUUGAAGAUCCGGGGGCAAGAGGAGGAAGAAGAUGGUGCAACACUUGAUCCGAAGGCGGAGGAGGAAGAAAAUGAGGCAUCCAUCACUGGCGCGGACAAGGAGAGGGAAGCGGAGUCGUUGCCGCGAGUUCUGAAGGUGCGAGCUCGGAGGCAUAGGAUAAAUCGGAGGCGUGGAGGAGCAGCUGGCCUUGCUCGGAGAAGAGGCUCUUCAUCCGGCAGGCGAGUUGCUGGCUUGCUGCUGAGGGCAAUCUAGAGUGACCUGCAGCUACUGCCGAGGGCGAUCUGGAACUGCUGUUGAGGGCGACCUGGGGAGGCGAUCUGGAGAGGCGAGCGAGCAAAGCGGGAGGUGCGAGGCGAGCGGUCUGGAGGGUGUCUGGAGCGGGUGAUGGGCCAAGGCCCAAAGCCUACCAGCGUUUUUUUAAUACUACCCAACGUGGGAAUCGAACGAAGACGACCAGACGUACGAAAAAAGGAACGGAACGUACGAAAAGGCCUGGUGCACGAAAAAAGUGGAGAAACAAUCCUCCCUUUAAUAUUGGGUAGAGAGUAGAGAUUUGUCAAAUUUGCCAUCGAACGCGCGCUAUGGAUCAGACUUAUUUGAAUUUCAAAUUGCCCUUUAGAGGAACAUAUACAGGAAUAAAGCGUACAUAUAAGCACGAGAGAAAAUUUGCAGAUCA